rnacentral:misc_RNA from 1 species
CGAGUAACAAAGAAUGUCGAGCAAUCUCAGCCGUCUAUUCUCGUCGCCGCCGACUCUCUCCGCGCUACCGGCGGCGAGUCGCCUGACUGCCAACUCGUUGAGCCGGCUCGUUAGCUCCUCGUCCAAUCAACAACCUUCUCGAUCGGAGCAAGGUGUGUCUAGCGAGGAACAACGAGAGGCCGGGAAAGGAAGUUUGCCGAAUCAACACGAGGCUGCCAUAGAUGAACGAGACGGUGAAGAUGAAGGAGUUGAUAUAAAAGAAGCGACCGGCGAGGUCGGUGGACCUAAAGGCCCCGAGCCCACCCGCUACGGCGAUUGGGAACGAAACGGUCGGUGCUACGAUUUCUGACAUUUCGAGGAAUAAGGGAUCCAUGGAUAAAGGCGCUAAAUGGUGAUUCAACAUGGAUUCGACAUCUUGG